UGGGGGAUAUUGCACAAUGGGCGAAAGCCUGAUGCAGCGACGCCGCGUGGGGGAUGAAGGCCUUCGGGUUGUAAACUUCUUUUGCUCUGAACAAGGCAUGCUAAUGGGUGUGUUGAGUGUAGGGGUUGAUUAGCGCCGGCUAACUACGUGCCAGCAGCCGCGGUAAUACGUAGGGCGCGAGCGUUGUCCGGAAUUAUUGGGCGUAAAGGGCGUGUAGGUGGCUGGUUGCGUCUGUCGUGAAAGCUCAUGGCUUAACUGUGGGGUUGCGGUGGGUACGGGCUGGCUUGAGUGCAGUAGGGGAGGCUGGAGUUCCUGGUGUAGCGGUGGAAUGCGCAGAUAUCAGGAGGGAUUCCGGUGGAGAAGGCGGGUCUCUGGGCUGUUACUGACACUGAGGAGCGAAAGCAUGGAGAGCGAACAGG
rnacentral:rRNA from 1 species